AAGGCUCUUGGAAUACAGAUUAUUUGGGCCAUUUUACUGGUAUGUAUUAUUUUAUUUUUUCCUCAUCUUCUGUAACUUUUUAAUUUUCUAUGAGGUAUUAAAUAUAAUUUCUUUAUGCUAGGUAGAAAAAAGAGAAGGAAUUUCCCCAAUGAUUAUAUUCAGAUAAAUGGGAGAUGGUAUGUUAUUUUGUAUUUUUAUAUGUUUACUCAUUAAUGAAGGCGCUGUUAUUUGUAACUUAUUUUUUUAUUCCUUCGUAAUAUUUUUUUUGCUUUCCUACAGGUUGCUUAUGCAGUUGCUUUGAAUGAUGAAUUUUAUUGUAGAUGCAAGCCAUCUAGAAUAUGAUGGGAGUUGAAUCAUAUUGUUGAAGUUUAGAGCUGCUAGAGAUUAAAAGUUUAGUUAAUCAAGAUAUUCAAAUUUUACAUUAUAGGACUAUGAUUCCAUAAUGUUGGUUGGUUUGGAAGAUCCUUUGUAGUACUAUGAUUUUACUAAGUUGAAUAUAUUGAAAUUUUUGUUAUGAAAAUCGAG
rnacentral:lncRNA from 1 species